rnacentral:rRNA from 1 species
UGUGUAGGCGGUUUGGUAAGUCUGGUGUGAAAUCUCCCGGCUCAACUGGGAGGGUGCGCCGGAAACUGCCGGACUCGAGUGCGGGAGAGGAGAGUGGAAUUCCUGGUGUAGCGGUGAAAUGCGUAGAUAUCAGGAGGAACACCGGUGGUGUAGACGGCUCUCUGGACCGUAACUGACGCUGAAACACGAAAGCGUGGGUAGCAAACAGGAUUAGAUACCCUGGUAGUCCACGCCCUAAACGAUGCAUAUUUGGUGUAGGUCAUUCAGUUGAUCUGUGCCGGAGCUAACGCGUUAAAUAUGCCGCCUGGGGAGUACAGUCGCAAGGCUGAA